CGCUGGUAGUCGGCUGGGCGUAGGCGAUACCGCCGGGGCCGCCUGCAGCAGCGCCGGCGGGGCCGAGUAGGUGGACGGGGAGGGGCGGGUGAGAACCGGGGUGGAGAGGCGCCGCGAAGUUCGUCUUGGCCUUGGGGCCGCGGAGAGCUCUGGCGGCGGCGUCGUAGGCGCGGGCGGCGUCCUCGGCGGAGUCAUAGGUGCCGAGCCAGACACGGG
rnacentral:misc_RNA from 1 species